AGACGAGACUCGUACAAGGAUUGAGAGGCUAGCAAGGUCGACGCUCCGUCAGGACCCAAGAACAUUUCGCGAGGAACAACUCACGCACGGUCUGUGAAGAAGUUUGGCCGAGACCUCAACCCAAAGGAAGAGAUCCGAGAGUCGUCUGAGAACGGUGAGCGAACUUCCAACGUUCUUAACUCGUUCAGUAG